UACAGAGGUCUCAAGCGUUGUUCGGAUUCAUUGGGCGUAAAGGGUGCGUAGGUGGCGGGGCAAGUCUGGUGUGAAAUCCCGGGGCUCAACCCUGGAACUGCACUGGAUACUGCCUUGCUAGAGUACUGGAGAGGGAACUGGAAUUUACGGUGUAGCAGUGAAAUGCGUAGAGAUCGUAAGGAAGACCAGUGGCGAAGGCGAGUCUCUGGACAGUUCCUGACACUGAGACACGAAGGCCAGGGGAGCAAACGGG
rnacentral:rRNA from 1 species